GAGAACAGCAGCAGAGCGGAGGAGUACCUGGACCAGAGCCUGCCGUACCUGCAGAGCCCACAGGAACCCUUGCGCGAGGCAGCCGUCAGGUUCCUUGGGCUCGCUGGGCAGCGGCUGAGGGAUGGGCACCAGGAGAAGCUGCAGGUCAUCUACGAGGCCCUUCAAGGCAAGGCGAACGACAGCAGCCCCUCGGUCUCUUCCCUGGCACUUCAAACCCUGCAGAUGCUGGGCACUG